rnacentral:tRNA from 1 species
GCCGAAGUGGUGGAAUUGGUAGACACGCACGACUCAAAAUCGUGUGGGCUAGCCCCAUGAGGGUUCGACUCCCUCCUUCGGCACCA